rnacentral:rRNA from 1 species
GACGAACGCUGGCGGCGUGCCUAAUACAUGCAAGUCGAACGCAGUGGGGACGGGUGAGUAACACGUUGGUAACCUCCCAUCAGAGGGGAUAACACUUGGAAACAGGUGCUAAACCGAUACUGAUGGAUGGACCCGCGGUUCAUUAGCUAGUUGGUGAGGUAACGGCUCACCAAGGCCACGAUGCAUAGGCGACAUGAGAGGGUGAUCGCCCAACAUUGGACCGAGACACAGACCAGACUCCUACGGGAGGCAGCAGUAGGGAAUCUUCGGCAAUGGACGAAAGUCUGACCGAGCAACGCCGCGUGAGUGAAGAAGGUUUGCGGAGCGUAAAACUCUGUUGUUAGAGAAGCGGUAUCUAACCAGAAGGCCACGGCUAACUACGUGCCAGCAGCCGCGGUAAUUC